AAAUAUUUUGUUCCUAAAAUAAUUUCUUAUCUCUUAGAAAAAUUUAAUUCUCUAAGACUGCGUUUGGUUCGAAUAUAAGUAAAAACUGCUAGUUCAAGGGAUAGGUACAAGUUAGGUAUAAGAAGGAACUAGACCAAUUUUGCGUUUGGAUUAAAAUUUGGUUGUUCCUAAGAAUAAAAUAAAUAGUGUUUGGUUGGUUAGAUUGGAACAAGAGGAAUAAUUGAAAUUAAAAUUAUAUUAUUUAAUUAAUUAACAUCAAAAUAAUAUUUAAAAAUAAAUAAUAAAUUAAUUAUUAAUAAUUAAUUAUAAAUAAUAUUAAUUAUUAGUAAUUAUUAUAAAUAAUUAAUUAAUAAUAUCAAUUAUCUAAUUAAUAAUAAUAAUAAUAAUUAUUAUUAUUAAUUAUUAAUAAAUAAUAAUAAUUAUUAAUUAUUCUUAUUAAUUAAUUAUAAAUAAUAAAUUAAUAAUUAUAUUGAUUAUCUAAUUAUUAAUAAUAAUUAAUAUUAAUAUUUAUUAAUAAAUAAUAAUAAUAAUUAUUAUUUAAUUAUAAAUAAUAAAUUAAUAAUAAUAUCCAUUAUCUAAUUAUUAAGAAUAAGAAUUAUUAAUUAAUUAUUAAUAA
rnacentral:lncRNA from 1 species